CAGGGAGGGAGGAGGGAAUGCAGGGGGUUGAGGGGAGUUGUAGCAGACAUGGCUGGCUUUGUGGGAGAGAUUUUCUAAAAAUGAUAGACUGAGAAGAUACUCACAGAAUUGGACAAGACACUGAGGAGGAGAAGCUCCUCCUGAUGAGUGUUAAUGAGCUACAGCUGUAGGAUCAUGCAUGCCAGUGACACGUACAGAGCUGUUGCAGGAAAGCUGAGUGGACGCGGCGCGGAGCGGUCUCCUUUUCUGCGGCCAGGCCAAGCUGUGCAGGACUAAAGCUGACCCGGGAGCGAGCCACACCUCUGCCAUGCAAAGAUCCACAUGCUGCAGCCCCCGCAGCGCUGAGCUUCCUGGCCUGAUACCCACAUAAAAAGGACCUUGGAACCGCCUCUUCACAGCCCCGCUUCGAGCUAGACACCUGCUCGCUGUUGCUUCUGAGACAGCCAGCCUUCACCCUGCUUCAACUGCCUCCAACUGAAUGUCCCAAAGUAACCAAAUUGACACAGAGGCAGAGACAGGCUUAGCAGAGUUGGAAAUGGAAAGUCAAAUGGUUUAUUUUAAAUGGUUUUACUGUUUUGAUUUAAGCUACGACUGAAGUAAAAGCCCUGGAGUUAACAGGCAUAGCUUCUGUUAACAUUCGUGGAAACCAAGCUUUGCUGAUAUAGUAUCAGUGUGUUUUUACGGUUAUAAAAAACUUUAUUUCCAUAAGGGUUUUAUACAUCAAUGGGAAAUUAAUGGUUGUGUUUUCCGGUGCGCUCAUUACGAACAAAUGGAGCUUAAGGUCCUUUUAAAUUACUGCCGAAUUUUUGCUAGUAUAGCAAAGCUAUGCAAGCUGUUAUCUUCCAGGAUAGCAUUAAUGCUACCACCGAGUCAACGCAACUACAGUUCGUUUUAAACAUAAUGAUUGUUUUCAUUUACUCCACCAUUGUUCCAUAGUGCUAUUAGUGUUAUGACAGUAUUGAUAUAGAACAUUAAUGCCAAUUUAAUGGUUUGCGUUUUAAUAAUUUCUCGAAGAAAUAAUGGCAUUAAUAAAAUCAAGUGUCCUAAGGGCAUUGAUUUUCACUGAGGAUUCCAUUCUUUAAAAUGUUAGUUUCUCAAAUAAUGUUUUGUUUAACUCUGGAUCUACAUUGUGAAUGGGUUGAAACACAUACCAAAUGUUGUUCUAAAUUAGUCAAGCUAAUUUGAUCUCAUUCCACAUCCUUUAAGAUGAACUUCAGUGUUCUAAUUUAGAUCUGCAGUAAACCAGGAUUCACUGAAUCAUUCUGAUGAUGGUUUUCAAUCAUUUUAUUUGUCUUUUGUUUCUUUUGU